rnacentral:tRNA from 1 species
GUCUCCGUAGCUCAGCUUGGAUAGAGCAUCUGCCUUCUAAGCAGAGGGUCGCCGGUUCAAAUCCGGCCGGAGACG